GACGAACGCUGGCGGCGUGCCUAAUACAUGCAAGUCGAGCGAGCGGAACCAACAGAUUUACUUCGGUAAUGACGUUGGGAAAGCGAGCGGCGGAUGGGUGAGUAACACGUGGGGAACCUGCCCCUAAGUCUGGGAUACCAUUUGGAAACAGGUGCUAAUACCGGAUAAGAAAGCAGAUCGCAUGAUCAGCUUUUAAAAGGCGGCGUAAGCUGUCGCUAAGGGAUGGCCCCGCGGUGCAUUAGCUAGUUGGUAAGGUAACGGCUUACCAAGGCAACGAUGCAUAGCCGAGUUGAGAGACUGAUCGGCCACAUUGGGAAUGAGACACGGCCCAAACUCCUACGGGAGGCAGCAGUAGGGAAUCUUCCACAAUGGACGCAAGUCUGAUGGAGCAACGCCGCGUGAGUGAAGAAGGUUUUCGGAUCGUAAAGCUCUGUUGUUGGUGAAGAAGGAUAGAGGUAGUAACUGGCCUUUAUUUGACGGUAAUCAACCAGAAAGUCACGGCUAACUACGUG
rnacentral:rRNA from 1 species